rnacentral:rRNA from 1 species
AUUGAACGCUGGCGGCAGGCCUAACACAUGCAAGUCGAGCGAGCGGCGGACGGGUGAGUAAUGUAUGGGGACUGCCCGAUAGAGGGGGAUAACUACUGGAAACGGUAGCUAAUACCGCAUACUAUCGGAUAACCCAUAUGGGAUUGGCUAGUAGGUGAGGUAAUGGGUCACCUAGGCGACGAUCCCUAGCUGGUCUGAGAGGAUGAUCAGCAAAACGGGGACUGAGAAAAGGCCCAGAGUCCGAGGGAGGAAGCAGUGGGGAAUAUUGCACAAUGGGCGCAAGCCUGAUGCAGCAAUGCCGCGUGUAAGAAGAAGGCCCUAGGGUUGUAAAGUACGUUCAGUCGGGAGGCGUUACCGACAGAAGAAGCACCGGCUAACUCCGUGCCAGCAGCCGCGGUAAUUC